AGCAGUCGCCGCGGGAAUACGGAGGGAGCUAGCGUUGUUCGGAAUUACUGGGCGUAAAGCGCACGUAGGCGGCUUUGUAAGUUAGAGGUGAAAGCCUGGAGCUCAACUCCAGAAUUGCCUUUAAGACUGCAUCGCUUGAAUCCGGGAGAGGUGAGUGGAAUUCCGAGUGUAGAGGUGAAAUUCGUAGAUAUUCGGAAGAACACCAGUGGCGAAGGCGGCUCACUGGACCGGCAUUGACGCUGAGGUGCGAAAGCGUGGGGAGCAAACAGGAUUAGAUACCCCUGUAGUCCCUGUCUCUUAUAC
rnacentral:rRNA from 1 species